AACGAACGCUGGCGGCGUGCUUAACACAUGCAAGUCGAACGGAAAGGCCCUGCUUUUGUGGGGUGCUCGAGUGGCGAACGGGUGAGUAACACGUGAGUAACCUGCCCUUGACUUUGGGAUAACUUCAGGAAACUGGGGCUCAUACCGGAUAGGAUCUCCUGCUGCAUGGUGGGGGUUGGAAAGUUUCGGCGGUUGGGGAUGGACUCGCGGCUUAUCAGCUUGGUGGUGGGGUAGUGGCUUACCAAGGCUUUGACGGGUAGCCGGCCUGAGAGGGUGACCGGCCAAAUUGGGACGGAGAUACGGCACAGACUCCUACGGGAGGCAGCAGUGGGGAAUAGUGCACAAUGGGCGGAAGCAUGAUGCAGCAACGCCGCGUGCGGGAUGACGGCCUUCGGGUUGUAAACCGCUGUCGCCUGUGACGAAGCGUGAGUGACGGUAAUGGGUAAAGAAGCACCGGCUAACUACGUG
rnacentral:rRNA from 1 species